UGAGGGAAUAUUUGGGGUCAAUGGACGGAAGUCUGAACCAGCCAAGUAGCGUGCAGGACGACGGCCCUAUGGGUUGUAAACUGCUUUUAUGUGGGAAUAAAGUGAGGGACGUGUCCCUUUUUGUAGGUACCACAUGAAUAAGGACCGGCUAAUUCCGUGCCAGCAGCCGCGGUAAUACGGAAGGUCCGGGCGUUAUCCGGAUUUAUUGGGUUUAAAGGGAGCGUAGGCCGUCUUUUAAGCGUGUUGUGAAAUACUGUCGCUCAACGACAGAGGUGCAGCGCGAACUGGGAGACUUGAGUGCGCGGAAUGCAGGCGGAAUUCGUCGUGUA
rnacentral:rRNA from 1 species